AACGCUAGCUACAGGCUUAACACAUGCAAGUCGAGGGGCAUCAGGGAUUAGCAAUAAUCUGCUGGCGACCGGCGCACGGGUGAGUAACACGUAUCCAACCUUCCGUUGACUCGGGGAUAGCCUUUCGAAAGAAAAAUUAAUACCCGAUAAUAUAAGCUAACCUCCUGGUUUACUUAUUAAAGAAUUUCGGUUAUCGAUGGGGAUGCGUUCCAUUAGGCAGUUGGCGGGGUAACGGCCCACCAAACCUUCGAUGGAUAGGGGUUCUGAGAGGAAGGUCCCCCACACUGGAACUGAGACACGGUCCAGACUCCUACGGGAGGCAGCAGUGAGGAAUAUUGGUCAAUGGACGCAAGUCUGAACCAGCCAAGUAGCGUGAAGGAUGACUGCCCUAUGGGUUGUAAACUUCUUUUAUAUGGGAAUAAAACACUCCACGUGUGGAGCUUUGUAUGUACCAUUAUGAAUAAGCAUCGGCUAACUCCGUGCCAGCAGCCGCGGUAAUACGGAGGAUGCGAGCGUUAUCCGGAUUUAUUGGGUUUAAAGGGAGCGUAGGUGGAUUGAUAAGUCAGCCUGUGAAAGUUUGCGGCUCAACCGUAAAAUUGCAGUUGAUACUGUCAGUCUUGAGUACAGUAGAGGUUAGCGGAAUUCGUGGUGUAGCGGUGAAAUGCUUAGAUAUCACGAAGAACUCCGAUUG
rnacentral:rRNA from 1 species